AUAGGGGAGAUAUAUUUUCAACAUCUUUUAUUUCAACCUAUAUAUCCCUUCUGAUCUAAGUGGCUUCUGUUACAAAGGCCUGUGAGAAGAAACUACUUAUGAAGAGUGUGCCUGUGCACUUUUUAAAAGAUAAUUUUUCAGUAACCUGGAAGAUCGGCUCCUAUCUUUGGUACCCAACAGGAAACUGGUCUUGAAAACACAGAUUGUCUCAAUGUCAAAAUGAGAGAUCCUUGAGGCUCCUCGGUGCUGAGUGGAGACACAGAAUCACCUGCAGCUUGCGCAAGUGUACCAGUCAGUAGAAUGGCAGAGGCAGUUUAGUGUCAAACUACCUAGAGCAAAACAAUGUUAUUUAGAACAGCAUAUUACUAUUAGAAUACACAGU
rnacentral:lncRNA from 1 species